rnacentral:rRNA from 1 species
UACGAAGGGGGCUAGCGUUGCUCGGAAUCUCUGGGCGUAAAGGGCGCGUAGGCGGACAUUUAAGUCAGGGGUGAAAGCCCGGGGCUCAACCCUGGAAUGGCCUUUGAUACUGGGUGUCUCGAGUCUGGUAGAGGUUGGUGGAACUGCGAGUGUAGAGGUGAAAUUCGUAGAUAUUCGCAAGAACACCGGUGGCGAAGGCGGCCAACUGGACCAGCACUGACGCUGAGGCGCGAAAGCGUGGGGAGCAAACAGG